rnacentral:rRNA from 1 species
AGAGUUUGAUCAUGGCUCAGAACGAACGCUGGCGGCGUGGAUAAGACAUGCAAGUCGAACGCUGAUCAUGUUGCAGCAAUGUAGUAUGGUCGGAGUGGCGCAAGGGUGCGUAACACGUGGGUAAUUUGCCGUGAAGACUGGGAUAACUUGCUGAAAGGCGAGCUAAUACCGGAUGUGGUCAGGAGAAGGCAUCUUUUUCUGACUGAAGCUGGGGACCGUAAGGCCUGGCACUUCACGAUAAGCCCGCGGCCUAUCAGCUAGUUGGUGAGGUAACGGCUCACCAAGGCUAAGACGGGUAGCUGGUCUGAGAGGACGACCAGUCACACUGGAACUGAGAGACGGUCCAGACACCUACGGGUGGCAGCAGUCGAGAAUUUUUCUCAAUGGGCGAAAGCCUGAAGGAGCGACGCCGCGUGGGGGAUGAAUGGCUUCGGCCCGUAAACCCCUGUCAUUUGCGAACAAAUUCCAUUAUUUAAAAGAUGAUGGAUUGAUUGUAGCGAAAGAGGAAGGGACGGCUAACUCUGUGCCAGCAGCCGCGGUAAUACAGAGGUCCCAAGCGUUGUUCGGAUUCACUGGGCGUAAAGGGUGCGUAGGUGGUGAGGUAAGUCGGAUGUGAAAUCUCCAAGCUCAACUUGGAAAUGGCAUUGGAAACUACCUUGCUAGAGGUUUGGAGGGGGGCUGGAAUUCUCGGUGUAGCAGUGAAAUGCGUAGAUAUCGAGAGGAACACCAGUGGCGAAGGCGAGUCCCUGGACAACACCUGACACUGAGGCACGAAAGCUAGGGGAGCAAACAGGAUUAGAUACCCUAGUAGUCC